rnacentral:rRNA from 1 species
CAGGACGAACGCUGGCGGCAUGCUCAUACAUGCAAGUCGAACGAUAAGGUCUCUUCGGAGAUACAUAAGUGGCGGACGGGUGGAGUAAUAUGUAGGAAAUCUGCCCUUGAGAGGGGGACAACAGAGGGAAACUUCUGCUAAUACCCCAUAUGAGCGUACCUGAAAUGGUAUUCUUGAAAACUCCGGUGCUCAAGGAUGAGCCUGCAUCUGAUUAGCUUGUUGGCGGUGUAAUGGACCACCAAGGCGACGAUCAGUAGCUGGUUUGAGAGGAUGAUCAGCCACAAUGGGACUGAGACACGGCCCAUACUCCUACGGGAGGCAGCAGUAGGGAAUUUUGCGCAAUGGGCGAAAGCCUGAACCGCAGCAAUGCCGCGUGAACGUAGAAGCCCUUCGGGGUGUAAAGUUCUGUCAGUGGGGACGAAUUCUGACGGUACCCACAGAGGAAGCACCGGCUAACUCCGUGCCAGCCGCGGC